rnacentral:sRNA from 1 species
UAGAUUGUCAAGAAAUAUGCAUUUUACAAGCCACAACCAGACACUAACAAUGACCUUGACCCAUCAAUUGACCUACAGACAAUGAGCCAAGCUUACUGCAACAUAACAAGUGGGGCAUGUUUGGUGAUGGGCUUGAAGUUUGCUGGAUCAGCUAAUAGGGAGGCUUA